rnacentral:ncRNA from 1 species
AUAAUGACAUCAAUAAUCACGGCGGCUAUGCACAGUGAUGUACAUAGACAAGUUGACUAAUUUCGGGAAAACCUAAGCGAGAAAUCGUAUGGCAAUUCCGAGGGAAACAAUGGAGAUCAUUGUGCCCGUAGAGACUAAACGUCAGCACUCUCAGUAAAAAUGAGAAGAUGCUAUAGUCCGAUCCCUCUUGAAAAAGAGGU